UACGGAGGGUGCAAGCGUUAUCCGGAUUCACUGGGUUUAAAGGGUGUGUAGGCGGAUAUUUAAGUCAGAGGUGAAAUCUCCAGGCUCAACCUGGAAACUGCCUUUGAUACUAUUUAUCUUGAAUUUUGUUGAGGUAGGCGGAAUAUAUCAUGUAGCGGUGAAAUGCAUAGAGAUGUGGAGGAACACCAAUGGCGAAGGCAGCCUUCUGGGCCAACACUGACGCUCAUGCACGAAAGCGUGGGGAGCAAACAGG
rnacentral:rRNA from 1 species